GACAGAGGAUGCAAGCGUUAUCCGGAAUGAUUGGGCGUAAAGCGUCUGUAGGUGGCUUUUUAAGUCUGCCGUCAAAUCCCAGGGCUUAACCCUGGACAGGCGGUGGAAACUACCAAGCUGGAGUACGGUAGGGGCAGAGGGAAUUUCCGGUGGAGCGGUGAAAUGCGUAGAGAUCGGAAAGAACAUCAGUGGCGAAAGCGACUGCCUGGACCAAUACUGACACUCAAGUGCGAAAGCGUGGGGAGCAAACAGG
rnacentral:rRNA from 1 species